AUUGAACGCUGGCGGCAGGCCUAACACAUGCAAGUCGAACGGUAACAGGAAGCAGCUUGCUGCUUUGCUGACGAGUGGCGGACGGGUGAGUAAUGUCUGGGAAACUGCCCGAUGGAGGGGGAUAACUACUGGAAACGGUAGCUAAUACCGCAUAACGUCGCAAGACCAAAGAGGGGGACCUUAGGGCCUCUUGCCACCGGAUGUGCCCAGAUGGGAUUAGCUAGUAGGUGGGGUAACGGCUCACCUAGGCGACGAUCCCUAGCUGGUCUGAGAGGAUGACCAGCCACACUGGAACUGAGACACGGUCCAGACUCCUACGGGAGGCAGCAGUGGGGAAUAUUGCACAAUGGGCGCAAGCCUGAUGCAGCCAUGCCGCGUGUAUGAAGAAGGCCUUCGGGUUGUAAAGUACUUUCAGCGGGGAGGAAGGGAGUAAAGUUAAUACCUUUGCUCAUUGACGUUACCCGCAGAAGAAGCACCUGCUAACUCCGUG
rnacentral:rRNA from 1 species